rnacentral:rRNA from 1 species
CAGUAGCCACGGUAGUACGAAGGGUGCAAGCGUUACUCGGAAUUACUGGGCGUAAAGCGUGCGUAGGUGGUGGUUUAAGUCCGUUGUGAAAGCCCUGGGCUCAACCUGGGAAUUGCAGUGGAUACUGGAUCACUAGAGUGUGGUAGAGGAUAGUGGAAUUUCCGGUGUAGCAGUGAAAUGCGUAGAGAUCGGAAGGAACAUCUGUGGCGAAGGCGACUAUCUGGGCCAACACUGACACUGAGGCACGAAAGCGUGGGGAGCAAACAGGAUUAGAUACCCGCGUAGUCCCUGUCUCUUAUAC